ensembl:lncRNA
UUCUUCUUUUUAUUUAAGUUGUAGAUUAUACCGCCGAAUCACCAAUACCGUGAUAACCAGAACUUCACACAAACUAUGAGAUUGUUGCGUCGUUAAAUAACAAGCUAGUGUCAAUAUGUUUCAAAACAGAUAUAAGUACUCAAGUUUAUAUCAAGACAUCCAAAAUGCUAUUUCACACAACAUAGUUACACUAGCAACAAUUAUGGAAAGGAAAACCUAUCAAAAAUAGAGUUCUUUAAUAUACACUAACGUGACUAUCCGUUAUAAGUAAUACAGUACAUGUUAAUAAGCUAUACAUGAUGCAUUGUCAAGCAAAAGAUUUUUGUUCUGUGUGCACUUGUGCUCGGACCUUGUUCAGGCUGGAGUCUUGCAGGCCUGUGUCGCACAUCAUUUAUGUUUGAGCCCAAAACCACUGGUUUAAAAUACAACAUGAUGCAAAAACACUCUCUCUUCCCUCACUCUCUUCUACAAAGCAUGCGGUUCGUUUGACUUAACUUAGAUCAAGAUGUCAUUAUGUUGAUAGAAGGCAGAGUUUGAUUCUGAGUGGCAGGGAACAGAAAAUUCAACCAAUGAUAACACAGAUGGAUACUAAUCUACUGUGACAGUAAGCAAGUCCUCUCAUUAGUCAAUCAAAUUCUGAGCGAUCCAAUCGCAUCUCUCACUAGCUCUGUCCCAGCUUCAAGACCGGUUUUACUAGUGAACGGUGACUAGCAUGUCUUCACUCGCAGGUCUCUCUGACCUCUGAGUAAAGACAGAGAGGCUCAACAGACUGUGUACUUCAUCAUGUGAAGAGUUAAACACAUCCUGUUACAUAGAAAACAGAAGCAUGUCCUUGUUCUUCUUGCUCUUAUAUAAGGCAUCUUGUGUAUGCAAAGAUAGAUGAUGAUAAAGUGUGUUGCUUUUGUAUUCUGAGUGUUUUAUAAAGGCACAGCUUCUAACUCCUCAGUGCUGUGGAUACGUAUGUGCCUACGUAUCCACAGAAGCCUUUCUUAUAUAAGUAGCCUUUAUAUAGUCGUUCUUAGAUAACUCAUAUUUCUGGCUACAUGUUGAUACAUGUUAUGUACACUACCGUUCAAAAGAUUGGGGUCACCCUGACAAUUUCAUGUUUUCCAUGAAAACUCACUUUUAUUGAACAGUUCUCAGCUGUGCUAACAUAAUUGCACAAGGGUUUUCUAAUCAUCAAUUAGCCUUUUAAGAUGAUUAGCUAAACAAUGUACCAUUAGAACACAGGAGGGAUGAUUGCUGGAAAUGGGUCAGCAAUGUCUAGACUGCAUUUCUGACUUAUUUAAUGUUAGAAAAGGACAUUUCCAAGUGACCCCAAACUUUUAAACGGUAGUAUAUGUGAAUGAUCUCACUGAGCAACCAUUGACAUAAAGGCAGUGGGUAACUUAACGUUUUCAGCUUCUGAGAACACAAUUAAAUUACUGACAAUAAAAUGACAUGUAAGGAUGGAUAUGACAUCAAACAAACGUGUCCACGGCAGAACAAAAAACAUACAAAAAAAAGACUUCCCUUUUUGAUAGAAACAAGUCCAUUCGUCCGAAUACUACGGGUAAAUAUCCUGAAUACAGGAGUUGGUCUGGUCCAGCCCUCCUCAGAGUCAGUCACGGAGCCAAUGGACCAUCCCAACAUUAACAGUGCAGCCCUGAACACAAUGCAUCAUGUUCUGGUUGUUAUAGAUUACUGUGAGGUUUAACAUGUAGUCCAAUGUCCAACGAUUUGAGUUUGAAUAAACUUUAAAGGUUAAUCCAUGUACAAUCAUAACAGCAAGUGGUUACAAAGUGAUGUACUUAUUGUAAUUGAGUAUGAAACUAAAGGUGUUUAUCAUGACUGUGUGAUGAUAGUUAACUUAAUAACAGUGUAUCAUCAGCGUAUAAAUUAACUUGUGUAUCCAAAGAUGGGGACACUAACAGCUCACAUUCAGGGGUAUCGGUAGUAGGCUGUGACUGCAGUAGGCUAGCCUUAGCUACGGUAGGGUGAGAUUACAGUAUUUUAGUGUUAACUCACCAAUGGAAUUGUGAGGUUAAAGUUGGCCAAUCUUAACCAUGGAUGUGUUAUUUACGGUAGGCUAACCUUAGCCUGGUAGUGCUAGCUUGGCGUAUGCUAACCUUAGCUACGGCUAUUGGCAAAAUCUAGCCAUGGACAGGUACGUUUACAGUAAGUGAACCUUAAUUAUGCUUGAAUUAACUAAUAUGCAUACGGAAGCCAUCAAUGUUAUUGAUAAUGUUAUUAUGUUAUGUUAUUUAACAGUAGGCUAGCUUGGAGUAUGCUAGUCUUAGCUACAGCUAUCUCACAGUGGCCAUGGAAGGGUACGUUUACAGAAAGUUAAUCUUAAUUGUGCUUGAAUUAGCUAAUAUAGCUACGGUAACCAUGGAUUUGUUAUUUAAAAGUAGGCUAGCCUUAACCUGGUGGUGCUAGUUUGGAGUAUGCUAACCUUAGCUGCGGCUAUCUCACAGUAGGCUAAAUGUAGCCGUGGAAGGAAGGCUAAGUUUAGACUAAGUUAACCUUAAUUGUGUUUGAAUGAGCUAAUAUAGCUACGGUUUACCCCAUGCAGUGGCCAUGGUCGUCGGUGGGCGUGGCCUGGUGGGGCGUGGCCUGGUGGGGCGUGGCCUGGCGGGGGGCGUGCCUAGAGGGGCCCACCGGGGGCGUAGUUCCUCCUCACACGGGCCUUCCUGCUCUCCUGCUUCAGCUUCAGCGCGCGGAGCUUCUGCUGCCGCCGCUUCUCGCGGUACCACAGCUGCUCGCAGUACUCGUCCUGGCUCAGGCUGUUGGAGCCGGCCAGCAGCAGGUCCUUGUAGCCCCGGGGCGAGGCCGCCUGCGGGGCCAAGCCCUGGGCCAGC